rnacentral:rRNA from 1 species
AUUGAACGCUGGCGGCAUGCUUUACACAUGCAAGUCGAACGGCAGCGCGGGCUUCGGCCUGGCGGCGAGUGGCGAACGGGUGAGUAAUGCAUCGGAACGUGCCCAGUAGUGGGGGCUAGCCCGGCGAAAGCCGGAUUAAUACCGCAUACGACCUGAGGGUGAAAGCGGGGGACCGAAAGGCCUCGCGCUAUUGGAGCGGCCGAUGUCGGAUUAGCUAGUUGGUGGGGUAAGGGCUUACCAAGGCGACUAUCCGUAGCUGGUCUGAGAGGACGACCAGCCACACUGGGACUGAGACACGGCCAAGACUCCUACGGGAGGCAGCAGUGGGGAAUUUUGGACAAUGGGGGCAACCCUGAUCCAGCCAUGCGGCGGGGGGGAAGAAGGCCUUCGGGUGGUAAACCGCUUUUGUUCGGGAAGAAAUCCUCUGGGCUAACACCCCGGGGGGAUGACGGUACCGGAAGAAUAAACACCGGCUAACUACGU